AUAGAUUGAAUGAAUUAGCUAUAUUAUCAUUUGAAAAGGAAUUAUUAAAAUAAAUUGAUUAUAAAACAAUACUUAAUAACUUUGCAUCUGAAAUAGCUAGAAAAGUAUAUUUUAAAUAAAACUACAUAUGAUGAAAAAAAAAUUUAGGGCCCCUCUCUUAAGUUUCGCUUUAGGCCCCCAAUGUUGUUGAGUCGGCCCUGGAUGUCCUAUAUUCUAUGGAAGAAAUAAGACUUCCCACUAUGAUUCAGUGAUUAAAAAGGUGGGAAAAAGAAUACAGGUAUGGCAAGGAAAAAUGUUAUCAUUUGGUGGAAGAGCUGUUCUAAUUUCACCUGUGUUGCAGAGUAUUCCUAUACAUUUAUUGUCUGCUUUAUCUCCUCCAAAAGGGGUGAUAAGACAGAUACAUAUGAUGCUCAAUAGAUUUUUCUAGAAAAACACUACAGACAGUAAAAGGAAGCACUGGAUAAGUUGGUAUAAAUUAUGUCUACCUAAGGAGGAAGGAGGAGUUGGUUUUAGAUCUCUUGCUGAUAUAUCUAAAGCACUAUUUUGCAGAUUAUGGUUGAUUUUCAGAACAAAGACUACACUUUGGAGCUCUUACAUGGGUAAUAAAUACUGUAAAAAGUUACAUCCAGUAAUUGCUCAGAGUAAGGGAGCAUCCGCCACAUGGAGAACAAUGAUCAAGAUUAGAGAGUUGGUAGAACAUCAUAUAUGGUGGAAAAUUAAAGGGGGAGACUCAAGUUUUUGGUUCGAUAACUCAAGGAGCGCUAUAUUACUUCAGUCAUGAAACCAGUCAAGAGGAAGAGAUAGAGGUCAAGGAAUUUGCAGAUCAACUGGGUUGGAAAGUAGACAAACUAAGAAAGUGGUUAUCAGAAGAUAUUGUACAACACAUAUUGAAAACAAUCCUAAGUCCAAUUUUUGAUGGUAUACUGGACAGAACAUGGUGGAUGCUGAAACAGAGGAAAGAGAGGCAAAGUAGAUUUCUUAACAUGUGGGAAAAGAGACUUCCAUUAAAAAUAUCUUUCUUUAUUUGGAGAGUUUGGAAAUAUAGAAUACCCAGUGAUGAUAUAUUGAUGAGAAUGGGGUGACAUGUCAUCAAGAUGUUGGUGCUGUGAUAAUCCAACACAAGAAACUGUGGAACAUCUUUUUUUUAACCUCUCCAAUAGCUUAUAAGCUAUGGAGGAUAUGUUUGCUCAUUUUGCCGGUCUAAGAUUAGAAGGACAAAACCUAAAUCAAGUGCUAAUAACAUGGUGGACAGCACACGCAGGUCACAAACUUCAACAAAUUAUGAAGAUUAUGCCUGCAAUUAUACUUUGGGAAAUAUGGAAAAGAAGAAAUAUCAUCAGACAUGGGGAAACAUGACAUAUAAUAAACUUUUCUAUCAGGUUACCCUCAAUGUAUGGCAAUUUGCAAGAUCAAGUUUUCCAAGUCUGAAACAAUUUCCCACCAACUGGUCAGAUAUGGUAAAAUUCUUAGAGAAUUACAAGCCAAGGAUAUACUACAAAAAGAUCAUAUGGAUGCCCCCAAAUUCAAAUACUAUAAAAUGCAACACAGAUGGAGCAAGUAAGGGCAAUCCAGGCAAGAGCUCUCAUGCUUAUUGCCUAAGGGAUCGGGAAGAAAAUUUAAUCUAUGCACAAGCAGAGGAGAUACCAGAUACAACUAACGUGGAAGCAGAAGCAGUGACAAUAAAGGAAACAAUAUAUCACCGUACAAGAAGGGGAUUUUCGAGAGUAACAAUAGAAACCGAUUCAUUGCUAUUGAAAAACAUACUACAAGGAAAUUGAGAGAUACCAUGAAACAUUAGAAUUAUAGUGGAAGAGACUCUAUCACUGAUGCAAUAUUCUACGAUUAAUAUUGAACGCAUUUAUAGGGAAGGGAAUAUAUUAGCCGACUACUUAGCUAAUUAUGCAUUUGAAGUGACAGGGAGACAACAAUUUAAUACAUACAGCGAGCUACCAUUGCAGGGGAGGAAAAUCCUCAACUUGGACAAACACUCGGUACCGAAUGUAAGAAUCAAGAACAAGGCAAUCAGGUGAACAACACACAAAUAAUUGAUGAUCAGGAGUAGAUACAUUACUAGAAGACAGUAAAGAGUUCACAGGCACGGCAAACGAAGCCAGAGCACACAAGUCACAACUACGCUGCUCAUGGAAAACAAAGCCAGAGCACAACAACUACACUACUAACACAGGUUACAAAUCUAAAACAAGAUAAGUGUAAGGCGAAAAACAAGGGUAUGAGGACAAGAUUCAAAGAAGAUAACUCUGUCAUAGAUGAAACCAUACAACAACAAGUGACUACCUGGAAAAUCGACAAACAAAAAUGAAAACAAUUGAGAAAUGCAGAUUGAGGAAUUGAAAGGAAAGGAAAAAGGUGAACUUACUGGUUAAAUCCGCAGAAGCUCACGAUCUGCUUUGAGAGAGACAUGACUUUCCUAAUUUCAAAUGGUAAUUUUUGUGGCUUUGUUUUUUAUUUUAGCUUUAGUUUGUCUUUUACUUAGCUUUUGGGUCCACCACUAUUGGGUUGGGCAAAUCUCUCCUCUUUUUCACUUAAUC
rnacentral:lncRNA from 1 species